CACGGUAGCCAAGACAAUCGCCGCAAGAGACACUUGUGGAGGAAAGUCCGGACUCCUAACGAAUGCAGUACCUUCGAAGGAGCUUCUUCAACGGAGGAAUCCCUGUUUCAGGGGUAUGGAAAGGGCCACAGAAAAUAACCGCCAGUUGAAACUUUUUUUGGCUGGUAAGGGUGAAAACGGGUGGUAAGAGCACCCGAUCCUAUCUAGUAAUAGAUAGCAUGGGUAAACCCUACUGGGAGCAAGGCAAAAUAGGCAUGUUGGUUGUUCGUUCCAUUAACAUGCGGGUAUGUCGCUUAGAUAAAUGAUUGUCGAGAUGGUCCGGUGUGCACACAUCGAGCUAUCUUACAGAAUCCGGCUUACCGGCUACCGUGGUGU
rnacentral:RNase_P_RNA from 1 species